CCCUGGCGACCAGAUUGUACGAAUAGGCUAGCUGUCAAACCGAUCAGCCUAUGCUUCUCGUGUGUGGAUAUGUGCGUCGCCACGAGUGUGUGUGUCGACAUGUUGUCAUCGUAUAUCUGCCUUGUGUGGUUUUGUACCUAGCGUGAUUUGGCGUCCAAAACUAAAUAAACAUUCUGCAAUCGUUGUGAACAAUCUGAUUUGGUUAGUGUUUUUUGAAACAAAAUAUAUGAAAAUGAAACGUAACUCUUCGCAUUUUCAUAAAUUAGGUGUUACGGGUCAACUGUAAAUGUCGGCUCGAAGGGAAGCUUUGGAAAAGUCUGCUGAACAAGAAUCCGAAAAUGCUGACCCUGAUUCUACGGUUGAUUGUUUACAUGUCGGUAAGUAAUUACAGGAACGAAAGAAACGAAUGAUUUCAUAGCUCUUCGCUGUGUUAAAGAAUACAAUUUCAUGCCGUCCGUUUCAGACAACCAUACAGAAGACAACCAAACAAUCGAUGUUGAUCCGAUUAUUGAAACACCGGAUGGUUAUACCGACAACACGUUUGAAGCAUCGUAUCUCGACGAAGAUUAUGAUUGGCUGAGUCAAGCUGAUUGAGCAUGUGAAUGUUUCAGAAAGGAUUAAUAUUAAUGUAUCCAUCGAUUGAUUGCCAUUGUUCAAAGGAUCUCCUUCUUCAUUUUGGUCAAUAUUGAUCAACGUUCAUGAGAUUCCGAUUCUGUCGCCUAUGAUUGCAGCAAUGUUCCGCAUUUAUAUGCGAUGUCCCGGCAAGAGCUUACUAUCAAGGUGUCAUGUAUUUCAACGCAAAACAUGGAUGUUUGAAAUGUUGCACCGUCGGCGUACACAGAUCUAAGAAUAGAUAGAAGAUAUUGUGGUAGCAGAUCGCCUGCAUCUAUAUCUCGUUUAUAAAAAAAUUGUUAAUAUUGUUAAAAACAAGCGUAUUUAUUAAAAGGUUGUGAAAGAAAUUAACUCAAGAAUAUGCUGUAAACUCUUACAGUUCUAAUGUGUUCCCGUCCUUUUGGUAAACUUAUCAAGAGGUUGCGUGAACGAUUUGAUGCCGAUUUUUGUUGCUGAUUAGC